GACGAACGCUGGCGGCGUGCCUAAUACAUGCAAGUUGAGCGAUGAAGAUUGGUGCUUGCGCCAAUUUGAAGAGCAGCGAACGGGUGAGUAACGCGUGGGGAAUCUGCCUUUGAGCGGGGGACAACAUUUGGAAACGAAUGCUAAUACCGCAUAACAACUUUAAACAUAAGUUUUAAGUUUGAAAGAUGCAAUUGCAUCACUCAAAGAUGAUCCCGCGUUGUAUUAGCUAGUUGGUGAGGUAAAGGCUCACCAAGGCGAUGAUACAUAGCCGACCUGAGAGGGUGAUCGGCCACAUUGGGACGGAGACACGGCCCAAACUCCUACGGGAGGCAGCAGUAGGGAAUCUUCGGCAAUGGACGAAAGUCUGACCGAGCAACGCGGCGUGAGUGAAGAAGGUUUUCGGAUCGUAAAACUCUGUUGGUAGAGAAGAACGUUGGUGAGAGUGGAAAGCUCAUCAAGUGACGGUAACUAGCCAGAAAGGGACGGCUAACUACGUG
rnacentral:rRNA from 1 species